GAUGAACGCUGGCGGCGUGCCUAACACAUGCAAGUCGAGCGUGAACCCUGCGAAUGAAACUUCGGUCGAUUUUGCAGGGGGGAAAGCGGCGGACGGGUGAGUAACGCGUAGGUAACCUGCCCCAUACUGAGGGAUAGCCUCGGGAAACCGGGAUUAAUACCUCAUAACACCGUAUAUUCGCAUGGAUGUGCGGUCAAAAGAUUUAUCGGUAUGGGAUGGGCCUGCGUCUGAUUAGCUGGUUGGUGGGGUAACGGCCUACCAAGGCGACGAUCAGUAGCCGACCUGAGAGGGUGAUCGGCCACAUUGGAACUGAGACACGGUCCAAACUCCUACGGGAGGCAGCAGUGGGGAAUAUUGCACAAUGGGCGAAAGCCUGAUGCAGCAACGCCGCGUGAGCGAAGAAGGCCUUUGGGUCGUAAAGCUCUGUCGGGUAGGAAGAUAAUGACGGUACUACCCGAGGAAGCCCCGGCUAACUACGUG
rnacentral:rRNA from 1 species